AUGGCAGCGGUUUCCCUUAUGGCAGAAGGAGACGGUCAGCAGGACAAUGAUUCAUCCACAAGGGUCGUAUAGUCAUCGAUCGGCUCCAGGAACAGGACAGGACCUCAGGGACGAGGUUGAACGGUUGUGAAGAACAUGUCAGGACCUCCAUGUAACGUGUUGUGGUGAGAAGUGCGAGAAAUGAUCCUGUGCACAUGGGCUGAUAUUCCUGCAGAACCAUUUCCUCACCUGGUGGGGUCUCAGCCUCCAUGAUAAACUGCUGCAGUCCUGAAGGGCAGAGGAGAUACAACCCACUACUAGAUGGGGGUCUACUAUGGGGCCAGUCAUCUUGGUUUUCAAGUACAUUGCAUGUCGGACUUACACAUCGUAUUUUUUUGAAAAAUAAAGUAGCAGGAAAAAACAGGCAGAAGAAAAUGGGAAAGAAUCCCUCUUCCUGUGAAAAAUGCUUCUCUCCAGAACCUUAUUAAUUCCCUGGGAAGGUCGCGGAAACCCAACAACAAAUGGUAGAAAGCUGACACUCUAAAUCAAGGCUUAGUAAGGAAAAUGAAGGAUAAGUUCGGCAGAAUGGCAUUUUCCUCGCGCUAAGUACUACUGGGAGCCAUCGCCGAACAACAAAUUACACUCGCGCUCAUAGAAUAACCAUAUAUUUUUCUUAUAAAUAGUAAUGCAGGCCUCUUUUGUAGCAAAGGUUAAAUACUUAUGACUGAGAACAUUAUUUAAAACUGUUAUAAACCUCCUGAACUGAGGCUGGAAGCAUACGGCUCCGCAGAACAAAAAGAUUUGCCUAAUCUGCUGGUGCUAAUUGCCCCCCUAAGGCGGCCAAUCGGGCGCUUGAUGUCAUCGCUGGUGCAACUCGAUGGGCGAUGAAUAGUAAUGUCUGACUGGUUGUUGUAAGAUGUAAUGUCAUUGG